UUCUUUUUUUAAAAAAAGAAAGGAAAAUGUUACCAUGUGAGAAACCAUAGAAAAAAAAUAGGUACAUGUAUUUUUAAAAACAAUACCUGCUUUUACUUUGACUACUUUUAAUAGAAUGGCAGUAAUAGGACCUUGCAGGUGAUUACAUCAUAAAUCAAUUUUAAAAAACAUAUAUUGCUGCGGAUUUAUAACAACUAUUUCACUGUAUAAAAAGAUGACUUUCUGUCUGCAUACUAAUAUUUCAAAACCUAUAGUACAUAUUUUCUUUUUUUCCACAAUUCUGCUAACUGGCUUAAAAAAUUACUGUGUAUUUUAUGUCAUAGUAAUUGACAUGCCCAUUUUACCAGUUAGUCAUACAAUACUCAAGUCUAUUGCUGGCUUGUCGGGGCGCACACUUCUUCAACUUGUUAAUAUCUGUUUCUCAACUUGCUGUGCCCCUUAAACUCCCACAGAAAUGGGUAAGACUCCAGUACCAUACUACCAAGGCUUUUUGCAUCAGACUUUUUGCUUGAAAAUCUUACAGUAUAAUAGUACCUCAGGGAUAUUAAUUGUCAUUUUGGAUUAACAAGGCUGAAUAUAUUUUUGCUAGCCAUUUAGAUUUCUGGUUCUGAAGUCUCUAUUGGUCUCUGAAACAUUUUUCUUUUUCCUCCCCUAUGCUAUAGUUUGGUAUGCUGGGUAUUCAACAUUGUGUAAAGGAUGUAACAUCUUUUUUCCAAUUUGCUAUCUUUUUCCAGUUUGUGGCUAGUAUUGUCAUUAUCUUUAUGUAUUUUUUUUUUUUAAAUAUAUUUUAUUGAUUUUUUUACAGAGAGGAAGGGAGAGGGAUAGAGAGUUAGAAACAUCGAUGAGAGAGAAACAUCAAUCAGCUGCCUCCUGCACAUCUCCUACUGGGGAUGUGUCCGCAACCCAGGUACAUGCCCUUGACCGGAAUCGAACCUGGGACCCUUCAGUCCGCAGGCCGACGCUCUAUCCAUUGAGCCAAACCGGUUUCGGCUUUAUGUAUUUCUUGAUGAACAAAAUUACUUCAUUUCAAUGAACUUGAAUACAGACAGUCCUCGGGUUACAUCGGACUCAACGUACGUCGUUUUGUGGUUACAUCGCCAUCUCCCAUUUAUUUAUUUUAAAAAAAGUCAUUUUGACGUAUGUAUAUAUGUGCUUUAUGUUUUUUAUUUAUUUGCCACAAGUAAAGGUCAAGAAUUGUUAUCUUUCUUUAAAUUUUUUUUACUGUUUCACUUCAUUCCUGCUGUGUAUGUGCUCCAUGUGAGUGACGUAAGUGGGUUCCGACUUAUGGUGAAAAUCACGUUACGUGGUGUCGUAGGAACCGAUCUCCGACAUAGCCCAAGGACCUACUGUAUAUGAACUUUUCCUUUACAGUUAGCAUUUUUUAUGGCUUGUUUCAGAAGUUCUUUUCUACCUUGAGCUUAGGGAGACGCUCUCCUGUAUUAACUUCAAAGGGCUUGUUAAUUUUUCUUUUCACAUCCAGGUUUUUAAUAAAUGUGGAACUGAUUUGUAUAUAGUAAGAUGGCAAGCUGGGAAAAUUUUUUCACCAUGUGGAUAUCCUAUUGUGCCACCACUUUUCACUGAAAAGUGCAUCCUUUCAUCACUCAAGACAACUGCCUCCUCUGAGGGAUGUAAAAAUUCAUGUAUUCCUGGAUCUGUUUCUCAAAUUCUGUUCCAUACUCUAGACACCUACACCAGUCCGAACACAGCCUUACUCAUUACAGCUUUACUCCAGCCCGAACGCACGUGAGUCUUACUCAUUACAGGUUAAUAUCUAUGAUAUCUAAAGGGGCAAACCUACCCAUUUUGUUGUUCAGGAAUAUAUUGUCUCUUUUAGGCUCUUAACCAUUCCUCUAUUCCAGUGAUUCUCAACCUUCCUAAUGCCGCGACCCUUUAAUACAGUUCCUCAUGUUGUGGUGACCCCUAAUUUCAUUGUUACAAAUUGAGCAUAAUUAAAGCAUAGUGAUUAUUCACAAAAACAAUAUGUAAUUAUAUAUGUGUUUUCCAAUGGUCUUAGGCAACCCGUGUGAAGGGGUUGCGACCCACAGGUUGAGAACCGCUGCACUAAACCUUUAGGGGAAAAAAUCUAACAAAAGCUGCAAGAUCUCUAAAGUUGAUAAAACUUUGAGAGACAUCAAAGAUGAUCCAUCUAAAUAAGUGGUUCCCAACAUGGGGCAAUUUGAUUUUUAAGGAAGGCAAUUCGAGAAUGAGUUAUUAACACUGAAUUUUUUGCAUUUUUUAUGGUUCUAGGGUCCUCAUAUACAGUAUAUAAAUAUAGUGACAUUUAUUCAUUUCAGUUCUCUAUUAUAUGUUUCGAAACUUGGCUAUUUUUUAAUAUCACUAAAUAUUUUUUUAACAAUUUCUUAGUGAUUUCUUCCUCAGUACUUCAACUGUCCGUUUGUUCUUUUAUUUUUCUUUCAUGGAUGCAAGUUAAUGGCCUUUUAGGCUUUCUCCACAUGAAUAAGAGUUCACUUUUAAUAUAAUAAGAAUUAUUUGUCACAGAAGGGGCAUCAGGAUUUUAGAGAUUUGACAAAUGCACUUGUCAAAAAACAACAGCCAACACAACAAUAGUCAUUGUGUAAAUGAAUCAAAAUUACACUUUUUUUGUCAGAUUGGCAAAAUUAUUUUGGUGUGCUACAGAAUUUUAGUAAUUAAUGUGUGCCACGAAAUGAAAAAGGUUGAAAAUCACUGGUCUCAACAUUUACUUGUAGCUUCUUAAUGAGUUUCGUAUCUGCCCAAUCUUAUCUUUGCAAAGUAAGUUUGUUUUUUCCAAUCCUCUUAUUUUUUCUUGGUUUACUGGUACUGUCUAGUAUUUUCAAUAUAUUACUAAAAAGGGGCUAACUAUAGGUGUCUUUAUCUUGUCCCAGAUUUUAAAAGGAAAGCAUGCAUCACCACCAAUAUUUACCACAGGUUUUUCGCAGAUACUCUUCAGUUUAAGGAAGUUCUCUCCUAUUUCCUAGUUUGAUCAAGUUUUUAAUCACGAAUGAAUACUGAAUUUUAUCAAUGCAUUUUUUUGCAUUUACUUAAAUAAUAGUUCUCCUUUAAUCUAUUACAGUGGUGGAAUAUACUUACAGAUUUUCUAAUGUUAAAAUAACCUUCCCUUGACAUAGCAUCCUCUUUAUGAAUUGCUGAAUCCAUUUUACUAAGAUUUUACUGGGAUUUCUGCAUGUAUAAUGAGAUUUCCCUCAAAUUUCCUUUCUAAUUCUUGUCAGAUUUUAUUAUCAAGGUUAUCCUAGCCUUAAAAAAAUAAGUUGAAGAAUAUUCCCUCUUUGUGGAAAAUUGAACCUACAGUCAUUUCUUAAUUAGAAUGGUAAAAAUUUUUGCCAGAAAAGCCAGUAUUCUAUGUGGAAAGAUUUUUGGCUGAUUGAAAUUCUUGAAGUCAGAGGUCAGCUCACAACUUAUUUUUUGUUGCUCUCGAACUAAGAAUGUUUUUUAUAAUUUUAAAGGAUUGUUACACACACACACACACACACACACACACAGUAGAGACCUUAGGUAGCCCACAACACCUAAAUAUUUACUAUUUGGCCCAGAAAAAAUUUGUUGACCCCUGUUAUUUGUCUGAUUGGCCUAGUAAUUAGAAAGACACACCUCCCAUUAUGGUGAUGAUUUGUCUAUUUCUCAGUAUAGUUUUGGCAAGUGGUGCAUUUUUACAUUGAAUAUGUCAUUGAGUAUGUAAAUUUUUUUAUUAUUACAUCUUCCUGAUGGACUAAAUCUUUUAUCAAUAUGCAAUGACUCUUUUUAAGCUGGUAAUUAUUGAACUAUACUGUGACAAUUGUUCAUUUAAGUAUAUCAACUGUCUUGAUUAGAAUUUGUAUAAUUUAAAAAAUUACUUUCAAUCUUUCUAUAUCUAAUCUUUACACGUAUUUCCUGUAAAUAGUCCUAACAGUCUCCUUUUUUUUCAAUUUUAUUUUACUUUUCAAUUUUAUUUCAUAACACAACAUGAGAUCUUAAUAAAUUGUAAAUGUAUAAUACAUUAUUGCUGACUGCAGGUACAAUGCUGUAUAGCAGACUUGAGCUUUUUCAUCUUGUUUAACUGAAACUUUAUGCUGAUUAUUAACUCCCCACUUCCCCAUACGCCCAGCCCUUGGCCACCACCAUUCCACUCUUUGAUUCUAUGAAUUUUAGACUAAUAUCUUAUGUAAGUGGGAUCAUGCAGUAUUUGUCUUUCUGUAACUAGCUUAUUUCACUUAGCAUAAUGUCCUCAAGUCUGUCUUUUAAUUGGACUCAUUAGUCUAUUGACGUUUACUGUUGUAAUUAGUGAAAAUAUUUGAUUCACAGCUAUCAUCUUAAUUCAUGCUUAUUUAUUUUGUCAUUUUAAUUUCCUUUUUCUUUCUUCUUUUAAAAUGAUUUGUCAUUCUGUUUUUUUCCCUACUUGUUUGUUUUGAAAUUACAUACUGUUUCUAUUUUUAAUGUAUACAUGUAUACACAUGCAUAGAUGUAUGGAUGGAUAUUGGUAUAUAAACACACACCCAUACAAAUAAAGAUCACUUAAAUCUUA